GCCGGGCCGGGAGUGGGGGCAUCCCCGGGCCAGAGGCUGCGGAGGGCGGGGACGGGGAUCCUCCAGUGGGUGUGCGUCUCGAUCGGGGAGCCCCGUGCCGCGGAGGGGGCGGGCAGGAGAUUUAAAAUACCAGAGAGCGUUAGAAUAGGACUUUCCCAGUCUCAGGCUCCAAAGCGGUGACCCUGGGGCAACGGGCGGCGGCCGGGUGGGAAGCGGAGGACAAGCAUGCGGGAGCCCCACCGGAGCUUGGGUACCGUGGCCCCCCUGCGCCAGCCGCUUGUUGCUGUGCCAAAGCCUGGAGACUACAACUGCCACUUGGAUGCACACAGGGGAUGAAAACAAAAAGAAUAAUGAAGUUCCUGGCAGUGGCCUGGCUGUGUUGGCAACCUCGUCCAGCCUGUAACAGUCAGCCCAUCAUGUUGACAGAAACCAGCCCACUCCUGAACGCAAAGACCACAACACAAAAUGUCAGAGGUGUAUUCCAGGACAUGGACAAAACCAGGACGAACAGAGGAAAGAGUUUUGAAGAUGUCAUAAGGAUUCAACAAAUAUUUAUUGAGCUCUCAGUGCCAGGACUUUGUUUGGGUCCUGGGGAUAUGGCAUUGCAGCAAGAAAUUUGCACAAUGAAAUGGACUCCUGAGCAGAGGAAGUGAGCAUGGGUCCACCUGUUUCCAUUGUUCAGGAGUGGUUGAAGCCCACGGCAUGCCAUGACCUCAGCUCAGCAAGCAGGAGCCACACCUCCAUUAAUAAGGGUUCUGCUAGGCAUUAAACACAGUAUGGGUGCUCAUGAGGGCAAGCAGUAAACCCCGGAGUUUGGAGAAUGUUUAAAGGAAACAGUGUGGGUUAAGGACCCAGGACCUGGGGUUGGACCAAAACGAGUGACCCCACAAGGGACAAACAGCAUGAUUCAUUGCCUCCAAGCAUCCGUGUCCUGGGAAAAGGCAACAGGCCCUGCCUGGGAAGCCGGCGAACUUUAGGGGUGGACACAAGAAAACGGCUCUGGUCAUGGCUGUGACUUGGUUAUAAGUUAACUUUAUGGGUCACCGAGUGUCUGGAAACAGACCAUAAAAGAAGAAAGGGUGGCCCAAGUAGCUUUGUGUUGGAAAUGGCUGUGACCAGUCGCUCCAGGAAGGGAGACGUAUUGACUGCAAUAAAACUUGAUGGGCUCAGCA
rnacentral:lncRNA from 1 species